UACGUAGGGCGCAAGCGUUGUCCGGAAUUAUUGGGCGUAAAGCGCACGUAGGCGGCUUGGCAAGUCGGAUGUGAAAUCCCUCGGCUCAACCAAGGAAGUGCAUCCGAAACUGCUGAGCUUGAGUACUUAAGAGGAUCGCGGAAUUCCCGGUGUAGAGGUGAAAUUCGUAGAUAUCGGGAGGAACACCAGUGGCGAAGGCGGCUAUCUGGACGGUUUCUGACGCUAAGACGCGAAAGCGUGGGGAGCAAACAGG
rnacentral:rRNA from 1 species